CAGUAGCCGCGGGAAUACGAAGGGGGCUAGCGUUGUUCGGAUUUACUGGGCGUAAAGCGCACGUAGGCGGACUUUUAAGUCAGGGGUGAAAUCCCGGGGCUCAACCCCGGAACUGCCUUUGAUACUGGGAGUCUUGAGUUCGAGAGAGGUGAGUGGAAUUGCGAGUGUAGAGGUGAAGUUCGUAGAUAUUCGCAGGAACACCAGUGGCGAAGGCGGCUCACUGGCUCGAUACUGACGCUGAGGUGCGAAAGCGUGGGGAGCAAACAGGAUUAGAUACCCCCGUAGUCCCUGUCUCUUAUAC
rnacentral:rRNA from 1 species